GCGCCCGUAGCUCAUUUGGAUAGAGCAUCUGCCUUCUAAGCAGAAUGUGGCAGGUUCGAUCCCUGCCGGGCGCG
rnacentral:tRNA from 1 species